GCUCCUUUAACUCAGCGGUAGAGUAACGCCAUGGUAAGGCGUAAGCCGUCGGUUCAAAUCCGACAAGGAGCU
rnacentral:tRNA from 1 species